rnacentral:rRNA from 1 species
AAACACGGACCAAGGAGUCUAGCAUGUGCGCGAGUCAUUGGGACAUAACUAAACCUAAAGGCGCAAUGAAAGUAAAAGUCCGCCUUGCGCGGACAGAGGGAAGAUGGGCGCAGGUCGUAACAAGCCUCGUCCCGCAUUCCCGGGGCGUCUCGUUCUCAUUGCGAGAAGAGGCGCACCAAGAGCGUACACGCUGGGACCCGAAAGAUGGUGAACUAUGCCUGGUCAGGACGAAGUCAGGGGAAACCCUGAUGGAGGUCCGUAGCGAUUCUGACGUGCAAAUCGAUCGUCGGAACUGGGUAUAGGGGCGAAAGACUAAUCGAACCAUCUAGUAGCUGGUUCCCUCCGAAGUUUCCCUCAGGAUAGCUGGCGCUCGUAGCGCACGAGUCUCAUCCGGUAAAGCGAAUGAUUAGAGGCAUUGGGGCCGAAACGGCCUCAACCUAUUCUCAAACUUUAAAUGGGUGAGAUCUCCGGCUUGCUCGAACCGAUGAAGCCGCGAGAUACGGAUCAGAGUGCCAAGUGGGCCAUUUUUGGUAAGCAGAACUGGCGCUGUGGGAUGAACCAAACGUUGAGUUAAAGCGCCCAAAUCGACGCUUAUGGGACACCAUGAAAGGCGUUGGUAACUUAAGACAGCAGGACGGUGGCCAUGGAAGUCGGAAUCCG